UUUUCAGAGAUGAGAAUGUGCCUUCGGGAACCGUGAGACAGGUGCUGCAUGGCUGUCGUCAGCUCGUGUUGUGAAAUGUUGGGUUAAGUCCCGCAACGAGCGCAACCCUUAUCCUUUGUUGCCAGCGGUCCGGCCGGGAACUCAAAGGAGACUGCCAGUGAUAAACUGGAGGAAGGUGGGGAUGACGUCAAGUCAUCAUGGCCCUUACGACCAGGGCUACACACGUGCUACAAUGGCACAUACAAAGAGAAGCGACCU
rnacentral:rRNA from 1 species